rnacentral:rRNA from 1 species
UUUACCAGAGUACUAUGAAUAUAAAAAAUUUAAAACUCAAAGAACUUGGCGGUGUUUUAGACCACUCAGGGGAACCUGUCUCGUAAUCGAUAGUCCACGUUGUAUCUGACCUUUUUUUGUUUUUCAGUUUGUAUACCGUUGUCGUCAGGUAACUUUUUAGAAACAAGAAGUUAGCAAUAGAAAUAUAGUGAUUUAGUACGUCAAAUCAAGGUGCAGCUAAUGGAAAGGGGAGGAUGGGUUACAAUUAUGUGAUUUAUAAUACGGAAAAAUGUAUGAAGUGUGCAUUGGCUAUAAGGCGGACUUGAAAGUAAAUUAGGUUACAUGAAUAAUUUGAAUAAGGCUCUGAAACGUGU